rfam:Coccomyxa subellipsoidea C-169, whole genome shotgun sequence.
GUCUGGACAGCUCAGCAGGUUAGAGGAAAGGAUUGAAAUUUCUUGUGUGGGUGGUUCGAAUCCUCCUCCAGACA